AGAGUUUGAUCCUGGCUCAGAACGAACGCUGGCGGCGUGGCUAAGGCAUGCAAGUCGAGCGAACCAAUUUUGAGGGUAACUGAGAGAUUGGUUAGCGGCGGACGGGUGAGGAAUACAUGGGUAACGUGCCCCGGACUCAGGGAUAGCGUUCCGAAAGGAACGGUAAUACCUGAUGACCCCGUAGGAUCGCAUGAUCCAGCGGGCAAAGUUCCGGCGGUCUGGGAGCGGCUCAUGUCCUAUCAGCUAGUUGGCGGGGUAACGGCCCACCAAGGCUGCAACGGGUACCGGGCGUGAGAGCGCGACCCGGCACAUCGGAACUGAGAUACGGUCCGGACACCUACGGGUGGCUGCAGCAACGAAUAUUCCGCAAUGGACGAAAGUCUGACGGAGCGACGCCGCGUGCAGGAUGAAGUCCCUCGGGAUGUAAACUGCUGUCAGGGGUUAGGAAAUUUGACCAGCCCCAGAGGAAGCCACGGCUAACUCCGUGCCAGCAGCCGCGGUAAUACGGAGGUGGCAAGCGUUGUUCGGAAUUACUGGGCUUAAAGCGCGUGUAGGCGGGACGGAAAGUGUCGGGUGAAAGCCCUUGGCUCAACCAAGGAACUGCUUGGCAUACUUCCGUUCUUGAGGUAGGUAGAGGUCGCUAGAACGACGGGUGGAGCGGUGAAAUGCGUAGAUACCCGUUGGAAUGCCGGAGGCGAAAGCGGGCGACUGGACCUAUCCUGACGCUGAGACGCGAAAGCGUGGGGAGCAAACAGGAUUAGAUACCCUGGUAGUCCACGCCGUAACGAUGCGCACUAGGAAUGAGAGGCUCUGACGCCGAUCGUUCCGAAGCAAAAGUGCUAAGUGCGCCGCCUGGGGAGUACGGCCGCAAGGCUAAAACUCAAAGGAAUUGACGGGGGCUCACACAAGCGGUGGAGUAUGUGGAUUAAUUCGAAGCAACGCGCAGAACCUCACCUGGGUUUGACAUGCUAGGAUGCCCUUUGGGAAACUAGAGUAAGCUGCCUUCGGGUGAAACUAGCACAGGUGCUGCAUGGCUGUCGUCAGCUCGUGCUGUGAAGUGUCGGGUUAAGUCCCUUAACGAGCGAAACCCCUAUCGUUAGUUGCCAACGGGUCAUGCCGGGAACUCUAGCGAGACCGCCGGUGUCAAACCGGAGGAAGGCGGGGAUGACGUCAAGUCAUCAUGGCCUUUAUGCCCAGGGCGUCACACGUACUACAAUGGGUGCGACAGAGCGAAGCGAGACCGUGAGGUGGAGCAAAUCGCACAAACGCAUCCUCAGUUCAGAUCGGAGUCUGCAACCCGACUCCGUGAAGUUGGAAUCGCUAGUAAUCGCGGAUCAGCCACGCCGCGGUGAAUGUGUUCCUGAGCCUUGUACACACCGCCCGUCAAGUCAUGGGAGUUGGGAGUACCCGAAGUCCGUUUAGCAAACCGAAACGAUGCGGCGGCCGACGGUAAGCCCGAUGACUGGGACUAAGUCGUAACAAGGUAACC
rnacentral:rRNA from 1 species